GGUAGCGAAAUUCCUUGUCGGGUAAGUUCCGACCCGCACGAAAGGCGUAACGAUUUGGGCACUGUCUCAACGAGAGACUCGGUGAAAUCAUAGUACCUGUGAAGAUGCAGGUUACCCGCGACAGGACGGAAAGACCCCGUGGAGCUUUACUGUAGCCUGAUAUUGAAAUUCGGCACAGCUUGUACAGGAUAGGUAGGAGCCUUUGAAACGUGAGCGCUAGCUUACGUGGAGGCGCUGGUGGGAUACUACCCUAGCUGUGUUGGCUUUCUAACCCGCACCACUUAUCGUGGUGGGAGACAGUGUCAGGCGGGCAGUUUGACUGGGGCGGUCGCCUCCUAAAAGGUAACGGAGGCGCUCAAAGGUUCCCUCAGAAUGGUUGGAAAUCAUUCAUAGAGUGUAAAGGCAUAAGGGAGCUUGACUGCGAGACCUACAAGUCGAGCAGGGUCGAAAGACGGACUUAGUGAUCCGGUGGUUCCGCAUGGAAGGGCCAUCGCUCAACGGAUAAAAGCUACCCCGGGGAUAACAGGCUUAUCUCCCCCAAGAGUUCACAUCGACGGGGAGGUUUGGCACCUCGAUGUCGGCUCAUCGCAUCCUGGGGCUGUAGUCGGUCCCAAGGGUUGGGCUGUUCGCCCAUUAAAGUGGUACGCGAGCUGGGUUCAGAACGUCGUGAGACAGUUCGGUCCCUAUCCGUCGUGGGCGUAGGAAAUUUGAGAGGAGCUGUCCUUAGUACGAGAGGACCGGGAUGGACAUACCUCUGGUGUACCAGUUGUCGUGCCAACGGCAUAGCUGGGUAGCUAUGUGUGGACGGGAUAAGUGCUGAAAGCAUCUAAGCAUGAAGCCCCCCUCAAGAUGAGAUUUCCCAACUUCGGUUAUAAGAUCCCUCAAAGAUGAUGAGGUUAAUAGGUUCGAGGUGGAAGCAUGGUGACAUGUGGAGCUGACGAAUACUAAUCGAUCGAAGACUUAAUCAA
rnacentral:rRNA from 1 species